CUAGUACGAGAGGAACCGUUGAUUCACACAAUUGGUCAUCGCGCUUGGUUGAAAAGCUAGUGGCGCGAAGCUACCGUGUGCCGGAUUAUGACUAAACCCCUCUAAGUCAGAAUCCAAGCUAGCAUGCGACGACUGCGCCCGCCGCCCGCCCCGACCCACGUUAGGGGCGCUUGCGCCCCCAAGGGCCCGUGCCAU
rnacentral:rRNA from 1 species